GGCUGCCAGGUCGAGGACGCGCCACGAGCUUAUGGAGUUGCAGGAGAAGCUCAAGUCCGUCAGAGCGGACGAGCGCAUUGACAGCGGAAACAGGGCACACCGCACACCAACGGACCCCACGAGCAGUCGGCUCACCUUGGCCACUACGACCUGCUGCACCCGCCGCGCCGCCACACCCCCGCCGUGCCCGCGCACGGCAGCCUCCGCUGAGCACAGCGCCAUACUGUCUAGCUCGGCGGCGAGCCUCGUCAUCCGCCACUCCACCACCACCUCCCACCGCGCAUGUGGUCAAUUUCCCGCCGGAAUCCAUGGGCCGCGGGCUUCCGCCGGAGCAAGAACGCGAGGGACCUCCUCCCCCAUACCCCUGACCCGCGACCUUCGUCUGCUGCUGCUCGCGCUUGGCCCACUCCAUCCGCUGCUGCUCGCGCUCGACCUCUCUGAUGUUUGCACGGUGUAAGGAACCAGAUCUCUCUCUCAAUAUCUAUUGGAUACAAGCUUUGAUUACAAGCAACACCAAUGGAGAUACAAGGUUUGGGGAUCAGGAAGAACAGAAGGAGGAGGACGAGAGGUAGGGGAAGAGAGCCGCCGUGCCAAAGCCG
rnacentral:rRNA from 1 species